GACGAACGCUGGCGGCGUGCUUAACACAUGCAAGUCGAACGGUAAGGCCCUUCGGGGUACACGAGUGGCGAACGGGUGAGUAACACGUGGGUGAUCUGCCCUGCACUUCGGGAUAAGCCUGGGAAACUGGGUCUAAUACCGGAUAGGACCACUGCCUGCAUGGGUGGUGGUGGAAAGCUUUUGCGGUGUGGGAUGGGCCCGCGGCCUAUCAGCUUGUUGGUGGGGUGAUGGCCUACCAAGGCGACGACGGGUAGCCGGCCUGAGAGGGUGACCGGCCACACCGGGACUGGGAUACGGCCCAGACUCCUACGGGAGGCAGCAGUGGGGAAUAUUGCACAAUGGGCGCAAGCCUGAUGCAGCGACGCCGCGUGAGGGAUGACGGCCUUCGGGUUGUAAACCUCUUUCAGCACCGACGAAGCGCAAGUGACGGUAGGUGCAGAAGAAGGACCGGCCAACUACGUGCCAGCCGCCGCUGUAA
rnacentral:rRNA from 1 species